UACAGGGGGGGCAAGCGUUGUUCGGAAUUACUGGGCGUAAAGGGCCAGUAGGCGGCCAACUAAGUCCGACGUGAAAUCCCCAAGCUUAACUUGGGAACUGCGUCGGAUACUGGAUGGCUUGAAUUCGGGAGAGGGAUGCAGAAUUCCAGGUGUAGCGGUGAAAUGCGUAGAUAUCUGGAGGAACACCCGUGGCGAAAGCGGCGCGCUGGACCACUACUGACGCUGAGGAACGAAAGCUAGGGGAGCAAACAGG
rnacentral:rRNA from 1 species